rnacentral:rRNA from 1 species
CACGUAGUUAGCCGGGGCUUCUUAGUCAGGUACCGUCAUUUUCUUCCCUGCUGAUAGGGCUUUACAUACCGAAGUACUUCCUCACCCACGCGGCGUCGCUGCAUCAGGGUUCCCCCAUUGUGCAAUAUUCCCCACUGCUGCCUCCCGUAGGAGUCUGGGCCGUGUCUCAGUCCCAAUGUGGCCGUCCACCCUCUCAGGCCGGCUAUGGAUCGUCGGUUUGGUGGGCCGUUACCCCGCCAACUGCCUAAUCCAACGCGGACCCAUCCUAUGCCGCCUCAGCUUUUCACACCGUACCAUGCGGUACUGUGCGCUUAUGCGGUAUUAGCACCCGUUUCCGGAUGUUAUCCCCCUGCAUAGGGCAGGUUGUCCACGCGUUACUCACCCGUCCGCCGCUAAGCCACAUCCUCUUCCUCCCGAAGGAUUCCAAUGAUGUGCUCCGCUCGACUUGCAUGUGUUAAGCACGCCGCCAGCGUUCAUCCUGAGCCAGGAUCAAACUCU